UAUGUUUACCCUGUGUUUCUUUUACUGUUUAUCUAGCUAUGUGUUUACCAUGUUCCAAGGCAAAAUACUUUACGGCAGUGUCGCAAAUCAUAAUGUAACGUUACUCAUGGAAACUAGCUCACGGCCGGAGUUUUGUUUACACUCUUGGGGAGCCAACAGCUACGGGCAGCUAGGACAGGGACAUGUGGAGGACCUGUCAGAGCCCCGGCUCUCUGACACCACUGCUCUACAAAACGUGGCAAUACGUGCUCUCAUCGGCGGCGGGGGUCACACCGUGGUCAUCACGGAGAAUGGAGAGGUGUUUGUGUGUGGACAGAAUCACAGAGGCCAGCUGGGACUUGGUCACAAUGUAGACAUCUCAACUCUUCAACUCUGCCCCAGCCUGACCCAGAGGGUCACAGCAGUAGCCUGUGGUUGGGAUUUUACUCUUCUUCUCAGUGAUUGCGGUCGAGUACUGGCAUGUGGUUCCAAUGCAUUUGGACAACUAGGUGUUGGACAAACAGUCACACACUGUGCAGAUCUACUGGUUGUUGAGAGUCUGCAGGAGCCAGUGUUGAGUGUAGCAGCAGGACUCAGACAUUCACUAGCUGUUACUGUCUCAGGGUGUGUAUAUCAGUGGGGAAGGGGGCUUUUUAAUCACGCUAAGAGAGCACUCAGUCUCCGCGCUGUCCCAUCACACCUCAGCUCUACGGUACCCUCUCUCGUACCAGGUCUGGAUCAUAAGACCUCACACAUGGUAGCUGCAGGCUCAGCACACUGUGUGUGCCUUACAGGAGAUGGUGAUUUGUUUCUGUGGGGAAGCAACAAGCAUGGCCAGCUGACCACCACAGAGCCCUUCCUGUCCUCUCCCACUCUUGUGAAGCGCUCAAUGCUGGGUGGAGAGAAAGUUAUGAGUGUGUGGAGCGGCUGGACGCACAUUGUUGCUCAAACAGAGAGUGGGAGAGUGUUCACAUGGGGCAGAGGAGAUUAUGGACAGCUGGGCCGACAAACAUCAACCAGUCAGAACCCAGAGCUGCAACCGACUGCUCCUUCAGCUGACGGUGGAAACCAGGAGGCUUGCCUUCCUGCAGAAGUUAAUGUCCUUCGUGGAGCGACACAGAUUGCAUGCGGAUCUGAACAUAACCAUGCCAUUGUAGAAGUUCAGUGAUGAGAAAGCAGAACCAGUAAAUGGAGAGUUCAUGUGAACCUCCCGCACCUCACUCUUGUGCCAUGCUGUCCUCCUUUCCUCCUGUCUGGAGCGCAGUGGCAGGAAAAAAUGAAAUGACAAAACAGGAUUGGAAGCAGAGACCUGAGUACUGCUAUUUCUGGUGCUGAAGGGGUUGUCUUCUCUCCUGGGGCUGGAACGAACAUGGAAUGUGUGGAGACGGUUCACAGAGCAACUUAUUGAAGCCACAGCUCGUUUCUGGUCUCAAACCUCUUCUAAUUGGCUGUGGAGCUGGACACUCUAUGGCAGUGUGCGCUGCGACGACUGACUCAAGACAAAACGCUGCAGUGACUCCACCUCACUAACAUCGGAGCAGGGACAUUAUCUAGCACAAGGCCAUCGGAGACAAAAAAACAGAAUGACUUUGUGAAUUAACAAAUUCUCACUGAUUUAGGGUUCUUUUUGGUGCAUUGCAAAGCUCACAUGAGUAUUCUAAGUGUCUUUGAAUAUACUGUAACUUUCACAUUUUAUUAGGCUACUUGAGCUCCUUGAAAAUAUCAGGCUUUAAACUGUAGUCAUCAUAAAAACACACAGGAUGAGUUAUGUUACAUGUGAACGGAGACCAUCAUUUCUCUGACCAGCCCAUCACUUUGAUGGACAUGAUUGGGGCCAAUGACUUUGCAGGAAAUGACCAUGCCUGUGGCUCCUGGUCCACCUGCCAUGUUUGUCUUUCCUAAGAAAGCCGCUAAGAAUUAUGUGAGGGAUGGGCUACACUGGUGCUACAGCUCCAUCUUCCCAUGUCAGCGGUUUUAUAGCUGUGAUCCAGAGUGUCAGAAGGUAGUCAAUCUCUGCACUUUGUACUAAAAAUCCAUUGGUCAUCUCAUGAUUUACCACUUAAACAGACAGUGAGUGCAGUCAUUUUUCUUCGGCAACUCACUUAUUUAUGUUCUUGGCAGUCUUUCAUAUUCUUUGAUCUUCUGUUUGUCUCAUUUCCACCACUUUCAUACUCUCUACUUUAUUAAUCCCUCUUGGGAGAAAUUUGACCACUGCAUUUGACCCAACCUACAUAUUUAUGAGCUUUAAGUGGCCGCAGUGCAGCAUGCAGGGACCAACUGCAGGUCUGAAGCCAGGAAAUGGCAGCACUCAAUGGUUAAAAAGGUUUUUAUUUUAUCCUUAUGAUUUAUGCAAAUUAUAAAUAUAAAAAAAACAAUAUCACUGAUUUAUACAUUAAUAAAAGUUGAAAUAAUGUGCUUAUAUCUGGAUUAGUUUGAAAAAUAAAUCAACAGUCGUUGAAAAUGAUCAUUUCUGUGUUUUCUUUUAUUUAUCACUAUUUAUUGUACAAGCCUGAACUGUAUUGGUCAAAAAAGACACAAAAAAUCCCAAAACAACAAACAAAUCAAAACGAUCACUGAACACCUUAUUGAGAUAACUAACCACAAAAUGCAAGGUGUUCAAAACACACACUUCUCACUAAACGGCACAUUAGUUGCCUCUUAGUUGUGUUAUUGAUCUGUUUGAAAACAGCUGCUGUUAUUGUUUUGUGUCAGACAACGAUUAGCACGCUGUCCCCCCAUUUGUGCUCAGCUCUUUUGGCAGAUUCAGAUCUGCUGUACCUGAUCUCUAACAGAUCUCAGUAGGUUGUUGGCAGUGUGUUUGCAGUUGUUUGGUAAAAAGGUGGUGGAGGCUUUUUCACUAACUUAUACACGCAAAAAUCAAGAUGUUCUCUGUACUCAAUGGCCUUCCUCUAGGUUUUUAAUUAGGUAUGCUCAUUGCUUGCCUUUAGAAACUGAUCCGCGUGGGGGUCCUUAUUGUAUCCUUGUGCUUUUUGAGUAUCUAACUGACUUGUUUUCAGUGGCUGGUGACUGAUGCCUAAUGUCAAAUAAAAUGUACAUUAAUUCAUGUUGGUUAAGCUAUACUCCUGAAUGGUAAGAAGAAUUUGCAUAACAGAGGCACUUGUCCAGUAUGUGUGUUAUAUUUUGGCAAUGGUUAGUAUUGCAUACUAUGCCAAUUUGAUUGUGCAGAAAUUAAAAUGUACCACAGAAUAAUUAUGAAUGUCUGAGCUGGUAUAUGAGUCAAUGUCAAUUGUAUAUAUAAGCUGUCUUUAUUAAUCAAAGUGUAGCUACAUAUAAAGAUAUAUACAUUUAAUGAAUGUUAAAAAUCUAGUAUUCCUUUCUGAAUACCCUCAUUUAAGAUUUGAAUCAUCAAACAGUUAUUUACUCUUGACGGCACAAUUUGCCAUUUGAAUGCCUCAUUAAGUAAGAGUUAAGGUAAGAGUGGUGUUUCCUUAAUUUUUUUUUGAAUUACAUUUUUUACAUUUUUUGUGUGGAUGUUAUCUCUCUUAUGCCUAAAAACAUAUCAAAGGAAUUUUAAAGGUGCAAAACGGUGCAAAGGUCUAAUGACAGUGCAAAGUUAUCGAUUUGUAUUUAACUAUUAAGUCUGGCUGACAGGUGAGAGAUUUUUUGCUGGGUGAUUAAAAUCGGAGCAACAUUUCUUUUUCUUUCAAUAGAAGAAGCACACAUAUAUUUGAUGAUCAUUCAAAAACACUGGUACACAAAACAUCUGCACACAA